rnacentral:piRNA from 1 species
UAAAAAUAUCUCAGAGUGUACCCGGCUGUG